AGUGUUGGAAAUGGGUGGAUUUAUGCAAUGUCAUUUCCAGUAUAAGCAUUAUAGUUGGGCACUUAAUGAAUAUUCUGAAUCCUUCUUAACGUAUGCUGUUUAGAAUAAUAGGCAAGCACUAUCCUCAAAGGCAACAUCAAUUCUUAUCUUUGAAGCCAUACUGAAUCAAGGAAAUGUGUCCUCGGUAUCGUAAUUCUGAAAGUCACUUCAUUAUGAAAAGUUUUGUGUCACAAACUGGUCACAGUAAUCCAAAUAUGACCUGAUCAAGGCAGAAUACAGCAGGACAAUAAAUUCUGAUGCAGAUUUUCUGUUUGUUUAACCCAUUCUUCAAGAUCUUAUCCAGAUAUUUUAGAAUAUCCUUUCGGAAUCUUCUUUUUAUCUUCUAAAAUACUAGUUACUCUCCUUCUGGUUUUGUGUCAUCUGCAAAUUUGAUAAUAUUCUCAACUUCUUCAUUUAAGUUAUUAAUAAAAAUACUGAUC